rnacentral:rRNA from 1 species
UACGUAGGGUGCAAGCGUUGUCCGGAAUUAUUGGGCGUAAAGAGCUCGUAGGCGGUUUGUCACGUCGGCCGUGAAAACUCGGGGCUCAACCCCGAGCCUGCGGUCGAUACGGGCAGACUAGAGUGCUGUAGGGGAGACUGGAAUUCCUGGUGUAGCGGUGAAAUGCGCAGAUAUCAGGAGGAACACCGAUGGCGAAGGCAGGUCUCUGGGCCACUACUGACGCUGAGAAGCGAAAGCAUGGGGAGCGAACAGG